ACGCGAGCUGGGUUCAGAACGUCGUGAGACAGUUCGGUCCCUAUCCGUCGCAGGCGUAGGAAAUUUGAGAAGACCUGUCCUUAGUACGAGAGGACCGGGAUGGACGUACCUCUGGUGUACCAGUUGUUCUGCCAAGGGAAUGGCUGGGUAGCUAUGUACGGAAUGGAUAAGCGCUGAAAGCAUCUAAGCGCGAAGCCAACUUCAAGAUAAGAUUUCCCACCGCAAGGGUAAGACCCCAGAAAGACUAUCUGGUUGAUAGGUCGAAGGUGUAAGUGCAGCAAUGUAUUUAGCUUAUCGAUACUAAUAGGUCGAGGACUUGACCAAU
rnacentral:rRNA from 1 species